rnacentral:tRNA from 1 species
UGACUCAAUGGCUGAGUGCUCGGCUGCUAACUGAAAGGUUGGUGGUUUGAAUCCGCC